rnacentral:tRNA from 1 species
GGCCCGCUGCCGGGCGGGGUCGGCCGGGUGCUGGAGCUGCCCUCGGGGGCGCCGCUCGGGGUCGGCGGGGUGCCC